rnacentral:rRNA from 1 species
CCUACGGGUGGCAGCAGUGGGGAAUAUUGCACAAUGGGGGAAACCCUGAUGCAGCAACGCCGCGUGAGUGAAGAAGUAUUUCGGGAUGUAAAGCUCUAUCAGCAGGGAAGAAGAUGACGGUACCUGAGUAAGAAGCCCCGGCUAACUACGUUCCAGCAGCCGCGGCAAUACGUAGGGGGCAAGCGUUAUCCGGAUUUACUGGGUGUAAAGGGAGCAUAGACGGUGAAACAAGUCUGAAGUGAAAGCCCGGGGCUCAACCCUGGGACUGCUUUGGAAACUGCCUGAUUGGAGUGCAGUAGAGGCAAGCGGAAUUCCUAGUGUAGCGGUGAAAUGCAUAGAUAUUAGGAAGAACACCAGUGGCGAAGGCGGCUUGCUGGACAGUAACUGACGUUGAGGCACGAAAGCGUGGGGAGCAAACAGGAUUAGAUACCCCAGUAGUC